rnacentral:rRNA from 1 species
UACGUAGGGAGCAAGCGUUGUUCGGAUUUACUGGGCGUAAAGAGCUCGUAGGCGGCUCGUCGCGUCGACCGUGAAAACCCGCAGCUUAACUGCGGGCUUGCGGUUGAUACGGGCGGGCUAGAGUUCGGUAGGGGAGACUGGAAUUCCUGGUGUAGCGGUGAAAUGCGCAGAUAUCAGGAGGAACACCGGUGGCGAAGGCGGGUCUCUGGGCCGAUACUGACGCUGAGGAGCGAAAGCGUGGGGAGCGAACAGG